rnacentral:rRNA from 1 species
AUGGUGGAAUUGGAAGCUGCCCUUUCGGCCACCCGCACAAAUACGGCCCCGGGACCAGGUGGGUUCCCGAUGACGUUCUACAAGAAAUUCUGGCCACUUGUGGGGCGGCAGAUGUUCGCGCUGCUGAAUGAUUUCACAAGAGGCAGAAUCGACAUAAAGAGGCUAAACUGCACAAUCAUCACCCUGCUUCCUAAGACUCCAGGGGCGGAGCUUAUCAAGCAGUUUAGACCCAUAGCGCUAAUAAACGUGGGAUUCCGCCUUAUGGUCAAGGGGUUUGCCACCCGGCUUUCCCCGGUGGCACAUCGGGUCAUCAGCCAGAGCCAGUCGGCCUUUAUCCGUGGUAGGAGUAUCCUUGAGGGGAUUUCGGUCCUUCAUGAAAUCCUCCACAUAGCUGCCCAAGAGAAGGAAGACUUUUUGAUUCUGAAGUUAGAUUUUGAAAAAGCAUAUGACCGAGUUAACUGGGACUUCCUGGAAGAGGUCAUGAGAUUAAAGGGGUUUUCACCAUUGUGGGUGAGCUGGGUUAUGCAGAUGGUACGAGGAGGCCAAACCACCAUCAACAUCAACGGCGAGCCGGGGCCGUAUUUCCGGAAUACCCGAGGGGUCAGGCAAGGAGAUCCCAUAUCCCGGUUGGUUUUUAACAUUGUGGUCGAGGCACUGGCC